rnacentral:tRNA from 1 species
ACUUAAAUAAUAUAAAUAUAAUUAUAUUUAAUUUCCAAUUAAAAAAUCUAAAAUAUAGUUUAAGUA